AUUGAACGCUGGCGGCAGGCCUAACACAUGCAAGUCGAACGAGUGGCGGACGGGUGAAUAAUGUCUGGGAAACUGCCUGAUGGAGGGGGAUAACUACUGGAACCGGUAGCUCAUCCAGCAUACCAUCAGAUGUGCCCAGAUGGGAUUAGCUAGUUGGUGGGGUAACGGCUCACCAAGGCGACGCUCCCUAGCUGGUCUGAGAGGAUGACCAGCCACACUGUAACUGAGACACGGUCCAGACUCCUACGGGAUGCAGCAGUGGGGAAUAUUGCACAAUGGGCGCAAGCCUGAUGCAGCCAUGCCGCGUGUAUGAAGAAUGCCUUCGGGUUGUAAAGUACUUUCAGCGGGGAGGCGUUACCCGCAGAAGAAGCACCGGCUAACUCCGUGCCAGCAGCCGCGGUAAUAC
rnacentral:rRNA from 1 species